rnacentral:rRNA from 1 species
CCUACGGGUGGCAGCAGUGGGGGAUAUUGCACAAUGGGGGAAACCCUGAUGUAGCGACGCCGCGUGGGUGAAGAAGCGCCUCGGCGCGUAAAGCCCUGUCAGCAGGGAAGAAAAUGACGGUACCUGAAGAAGAAGCCCCGGCAAACUACGUGCCAGCAGCCGCGGUAAUACGUAGGGGGCAAGCGUUAUCCGGAUUUACUGGGGGUAAAGGGGGCGCAGACGGGGGUGCAAGCCAGGGGUGAAAGCCCGGGGCCCAACCGCGGGACUGCUCUUGGAACUGCGUGGCUAGAGUGCAGGAGGGGCAGGCGGAAUUCCUGGUGUAGCGGUGAAAUGCGUAGAUAUCAGGAGGAACACCGGUGGCGAAGGCGGCCUGCUGGACUGCAACUGACGUUGAGGCCCGAAAGCGUGGGGAGCAAACAGGAUUAGAUACCCGGGUAGUC